GACGAACGCUGUCGGCGGGCUUAACACAUGCAAGUCGAACGGAAAGGCCCUGCUUUUGUGGGGUGCUCGAGUGGCGAACGGGUGAUUAACACGUGAGUAACCUGCCCUUGACUUUGGGAUAACUUCAGGAAACUGGGGCUAAUACCGGAUAGGAGCUCCUGCUGCAUGGUGGGGGUUGGAAAGUUUCGGCGGUUGGGGAUGGACUCGCGGCUUAUCAGCUUGUUGGUGGGGUAAUGGCUUACCAAGGCUUUGACGGGUAGCCGGCCUGAGAGGGUGACCGGCCACAUUGGGACUGAGAUACGGCCCAGACUCCUACGGGAGGCAGCAGUGGGGAAUAUUGCACAAUGGGCGGAAGCCUGAUGCAGCAACGCCGCGUGCGGGAUGACGGCCUUCGGGUUGUAAACCGCUUUCGCCUGUGACGAAGCGUGAGUGACGGUAAUGGGUAAAGAAGCACCGGCUAACUACGUGCCAGCAGCCGCGGUGAUACGUAGGGUGCGAGCGUUGUCCGGAUUUAUUGGGCAUAAAGGGCUCGUAGGUGGUUGAUCGCGUCGGAAGUGUAAUCUUGGGGCUUAACCCUGAGCGUGCUUUCGAUACGGGUUGACUUGAGGAAGUAGGGGAGAAUGGAAUUCCUGGUGGAGCGGUGGAAUGCGCAGAUAUCAGGAGGAACACCAGUGGCGAAGGCGGUUCUCUGGGCCUUUCCUGACGCUGAGGAGCGAAAGCGUGGGGAGCGAACAGGCUUAGAUACCCUGGUAGUCCACGCUGUAAACGGUGGGUACUAGGUGUGGGGUCCAUUCCACGGGUUCCGUGCCGUAGCUAACGCUUUAAGUACCCCGCCUGGGGAGUACGGCCGCAAGGCUAAAACUCAAAGGAAUUGACGGGGCCCCGCACAAGCGGCGGAGCAUGCGGAUUAAUUCGAUGCAACGCGUAGAACCUUACCUGGGUUUGACAUGGAUCGGGAGUGCUCAGAGAUGGGUGUGCCUCUUUUGGGGUCGGUUCACAGGUGGUGCAUGGCUGUCGUCAGCUCGUGUCGUGAGAUGUUGGGUUAAGUCCCGCAACGAGCGCAACCCUUGUUCACUGUUGCCAGCACGUUAUGGUGGGGACUCAGUGGAGACCGCCGGGGUCAACUCGGAGGAAGGUGGGGAUGACGCCAAGUCAUCAUGCCCCUUAUGUCCAGGGCUUCACGCAUGCUACAAUGGCUGGUACAGAGAGUGGCGAGCCUGUGAGGGUGAGCGAAUCUCGGAAAGCCGGUCUCAGUUCGGAUUGGGGUCUGCAACUCGACCUCAUGAAGUCGGAGUCGCUAGUAAUCGCAGAUCAGCAACGCUGCGGUGAAUACGUUCCCGGG
rnacentral:rRNA from 1 species